GAUUCCCCUAGUAGCGGCGAGCGAAGCGGGAAGAGCUCAAAUUUAUAAUCUGGCACCUUCGGUGUCCGAGUUGUAAUCUCUAGAAAUGUUUUCCGCGUUGGACCGCACACAAGUCUGUUGGAAUACAGCGGCAUAGUGGUGAGACCCCCGUAUAUGGUGCGGACGCCCAGCGCUUUGUGAUACAUUUUCGAAGAGUCGAGUUGUUUGGGAAUGCAGCUCAAAUUGGGUGGUAAAUUCCAUCUAAAGCUAAAUAUUGGCGAGAGACCGAUAGCGAACAAGUACCGUGAGGGAAAGAUGAAAAGCACUUUGGAAAGAGAGUUAACAGUACGUGAAAUUGUUGGAAGGGAAACGCUUGAAGUCAGACUUGCUUGCCGAGCAAUCGGUUUGCAGGCCAGCAUCAGUUUUCCGGGAUGGAUAAUGGUAGAGAGAAGGUAGCAGUUUCGGCUGUGUUAUAGCUCUCUGCUGGAUACAUCUUGGGGGACUGAGGAACGCAGUGUGCCUUUGGCGGGGGUUUCGACCUCUUCACACUUAGGAUGCUG
rnacentral:rRNA from 1 species